UACGUAGGAGGCGAGCGUUGUCCGGAAUCAUUGGGCGUAAAGAGCGCGCAGGCGGCCCGGCAAGUCGGGUGUGAAAUCCCGGGGCUCAACCCCGGGACUGCAUUCGAUACUGCCGGGCUAGAGGUAGGUAGGGGAGAUCGGAAUUCCUGGUGUAGCGGUGAAAUGCGCAGAUAUCAGGAGGAACACCGGUGGCGAAGGCGGAUCUCUGGGCCUUACCUGACGCUCAGGCGCGAAAGCUAGGGGAGCGAACAGG
rnacentral:rRNA from 1 species